rnacentral:rRNA from 1 species
UACGUAGGGGUGCAAGUCGUUAAUCGGAAUUACUGGGCGUAAAGCGUGCGCAGGCGGUUAUGUAAGACAGGUGUGAAAUCCCCGGGCUUAACCUGGGAACUGCAUUUGUGACUGCAUAGCUAGAGUACGGUAGAGGGGGAUGGAAUUCCGCGUGUAGCAGUGAAAUGCGUAGAUAUGCGGAGGAACACCGGUGGCGAAGGCGGAUCUCUGGGCCUUACCUGACGCUGAGGCGCGAAAGCUAGGGGGAGCGAACAGG